rnacentral:lncRNA from 1 species
CCAACUUCCAGAGGACAGCCUUGGACAUCUGUGUAAAAAGCCAUUUUGUGACUCUGCCUAUCACCUUCUCCACAUGCAGAUCCAGCACAUGCUUCCCAGUCCCCAGGUCCCAGAACAAGGAUGAGGCACCAGCCCGGAGCAGCCCACACUAUUGGGGGCGCCCAUGUCUCUUAUGCCUCAGAAAGUCCCCGACCCAGCAGGAAAGCAGAGAGAAGGGAUCCAUGGAUAUGCUGGCUUGCCCCUACUUCUCACCAAUGUUGUCCCAGGUUGAGUGAGGGAAAGGAGAAAUAUGGGCUGUGAUAUGGACAGCAAGACAGGUGAGCUGCCUGGACAUCUGGUCAACCUUACCUCCCAUUUGCCAUUGAGAUGCACUCUGCACCAGGCCUUCCAAAGUACCUGCCAUCCCCCAAAUUGGCCAUGUUUUCCUUAAAGGACUUUGCUGGAGAAAGGAAUCGUCUUUGUCUAGACUCUAGAGAAAACUUGAGGGGAGGUUUACCAGCCACACAGCCUUACAUUCAUCCGGAAGAACAGGCAAGCCUGCAAUUCUGUCCAUCUCAACUGAGACAGCAACUAUCUCAACUGAGACAGCAACUAUCUCAACUGAGACAGCAACUAUCUCAACUGAGACAGCAACUAUCUCAACUGAGACAGCAACUAUCUCAACUGAGACAGCAGCCAGGGAUGUGUGUGGAAAAGCCUUGCUAUAGACAUUUGUGUCCCCUCAAAUUCAUGUGUUGAAAUCCUAGUCCACAACGCAAUGGUGUUUGAAGGGGAGGGCUCUGGGAGGUGAAUGGGUCAUGAAGGCAGAGACCUCACAAAUGGGAUUAGUGCCCUUAUAAAGGGACCCCAGAGAAUUCCCAUCUCCCUUCUACCAUAGGAGGACACAGGAAGAGGAUAAGUACCUGUAAACCAGAAGGCAAGCCCUCACCAUACACCAAAUCUGCCAGCACCUAGAGAGUGGGACUCCCAUCCACCCUAAGUGUGAGAUAUAAAUUUGUGUUAUUGACAUGCCACCCAACCUAGGGUAUUCUGUGAUAGCAGCCCGAACAGACUAAGACAAGCCUCCAAUGUAGAAUUUAAAGGAAAUGGUUAGGAACCAGUUUUCUGACUUAAACCCCUGAUCUGGGGGCUUUUAUUUGCUUUGGGAAUAUACAAUUUUGAGAAAGUGGAGGAAGGGGGAAUUUGUGAAUGAUUGCUUUAAAGAAAAUUAAGAUUCUAUGAAUCCCAAUCUACACUGCCACGUGUAGAGAGUGAGACGUGCUUUCUGUCAGCUCAAGCCUAGGGAAGAGGCUGCCCUCAGACCAUCGAAGGAAUAUGAAGAUGGUCUCUGUACUUAGAGGACACUGUGCACUGCACAGAAAUCUGGGCAGCAGGAGAGGGCAUACAGCAGGGAUGGACCUGCACCCCCAGAGUUUACAGGAGUGAGAUGCAGACCAAGAGGGAAAGCCAGCCUGGGUCCACUUUAAAGCCUAGGAGGGUGUGAGGGCUCCAACAGUGAGACGGUACGUGGAGAAUAUCAAAUAACUAGGACAAAAGCAGCAUGGGUUGGGGGGAUAAUUGCAUAGUGUGCAUCUAGGGGGCAGCAGUGGGGUUCCCAAGCAGAGGCAUUCCCGAGCAGUCCACCAGAGCAUCAAAGAAAGAGUCAGCUUUUUAGUUUCCUGGUGAUGCAGCAGGUUAAGGAUCUGGCAUUGUCACUGCAGUGGCUCAGGUCACUGCUAUGGCUCUGGCUUGAUCCCUGGCCGGGGAACUUCCACAUGCUAUGGGGUGGCGGGGGUGGUGGGGGGAAGAAAAGGAAAGAAACAAAGAGUCAGCUCAAAAUAUCUGUCAGACCCAGGCAUGUGGAGAAAAUGGCAGUUCAAUUUAGAGCUGUCCUUUUCCUCCUUCCCCUCCCCUCUUUCCACCCAGUGUUGGUAACAGCAGUUACAGGAUCAGACAGAAGGGAGGACAUAAGAACAUGUCUGCUCUAGCAAAGGGUCAUCCACAGUGAGUCUGUGCAAGGAACACAAUCACAUGCUAAUUAAAUUCAGAGAGUUAAUGAUUGUCAGGGUCUGGCUAUCUUAAUUUCUGAAAUUUGUUUGCAACUAACAUAACCAUUGGAUUGUCCACUGCCUAAGAGAGAGCAGAAGAGCCAUGGACCUGCCCAAAUUUUUAUCAGAGGCAAGGGAAAUUCAUCCCCCGCUACACCCAAUAAACUCAAAGGAGCAAUGAGAGAUCA